rnacentral:rRNA from 1 species
AGAAUCAACGCUGGCGGCGUGCCUCAGACAUGCAAGUCGAACGAUUAAAGCUCUCUUCGGAGAGUGUAUAGAGUGGCGCACGGGUGAGUAACACGUAAGUAAUCUACCUUCGAGUGGGGAAUAACGUUCGGAAACGAACGCUAAUACCGCAUAAUGCAGCGGCAUCGCAAGAUGACAGUUGUUAAAGGAAUUUAUUUCGCUUGAAGAGGAGCUUGCGGCAGAUUAGCUAGUUGGUAAGGUAACGGCUUACCAAGGCUACGAUCUGUAUCCGGUCUAAGAGGACGGUCGGACACACUGACACUGAAUAACGGGUCAGACUCCUACGGGAGUCAGCAGUCGGGGAAGUUUUGGGGCAAGUGGGGACGAAAAGCCU